GUGUGACUCCCAGUGGUCCGAGUGUGACUCCCAGUCGGAAGGUCGUGGGUUCGAUUCCCUCCCCAAUGUCUGCA